CCUACGGGAGGCAGCAGUGGGGAAUAUUGGUCACUGGGCGCAAGCCUGACCCAGCAACGCCGCGUGAAGGAAGACGGCUUUCGGGUUGUAACCUUCUUUUCAGGGGGCAGCGCAGAAGACGGUACCCCUUGAAUAAGCCACGGCUAACUACGUGCCAGCAGCCGCGGUAAUACGUAGGUGGCAAGCGUUGUCCGGAUUUACUGGGUGUAAAGGGCGUGCAGCCGGAGAGACAAGUCAGAUGUGAAAUCCACGGGCUCAACCCGUGAACUGCAUUUGAAACUGUUUCCCUUGAGUGUCGGAGAGGUAAUCGGAAUUCCUGGUGUAGCGGUGAAAUGCGUAGAUAUAAGGAAGAACACCAGUGGCGAAGGCGGAUUACUGGACGAUAACUGACGGUGAGGCGCGAAAGCGUGGGGAGCAAACAGGAUGAGAUACCCGAGUAGUC
rnacentral:rRNA from 1 species